rnacentral:rRNA from 1 species
GACGAACGCUGGCGGCGCGCCUAACACAUGCAAGUAGAACGAGCGAGAGAGAGCUUGCUUUCUCGAGCGAGUGGCGAACGGGUGUGUAACGCGUGAGGAACCUGCCUCUAAGCGGGGGACAACAGUUGGAAACGACUCCUAAUACCGCAUAAGCACACGGCUCGGCAUCGAGCCAGGGGAAAAGUAGCAAUCCGCGUUGAGAUGGCCUCGCGUCCGAUUAGCUAGUUGGUGGGGUUACUGCCCAACAACGCGACGAUCGGUAGCCGGACUGAGAGGUUGAACGGCCACUUUGGGACUUAGACACGGCCCAGACGACUACGGGACGCGGCAGUGACGAAUAUUGCACAAUCAGGGAACUGCGGAUGCAGCCACGCCGCAUGGAGGAAGAAGAACAACGGAUUGUACUAUCCUGGUGUUGGAGAAGAUAUUGACGGUACCCAACUAGGAAGUUACGGCUAACUAAGUU